rnacentral:rRNA from 1 species
GAUGAACGCUGGCGGCGUGCUUAACACAUGCAAGUCGAACGAACCUUCGGGUUAGUGGCGGACGGGUGAGUAACGCGUGAGAAUCUGCCCUCAGGAGGGGGAUAACGGCUGGAAACGGCCGCUAAUACCCCAUAUGCCGAGAGGUGAAAUGAAUUUCGCCUGAGGAUGAGCUCGCGUCUGAUUAGCUAGUUGGUGUGGUAAAGGCUCACCAAGGCAUCGAUCAGUAGCUGGUCUGAGAGGAUGAUCAGCCACACUGGGACUGAGACACGGCCCAGACUCCUACGGGAGGCAGCAGUGGGGAAUUUUCCGCAAUGGGCGCAAGCCUGACGGAGCAACGCCGCGUGAGGGAUGAAGGCCUCUGGGCUGUAAACCUCUUUUAUC